rnacentral:rRNA from 1 species
UACGAAGGGGGCUAGCGUUACUCGGAAUUACUGGGCGUAAAGCGUGCGUAGGCGGUUUGUUAAGUCCGCUGUGAAAGCCCUGGGCUCAACCUGGGAAUUGCAGUGGAUACUGGCAAGCUAGAGUGCGGUAGAGGAUGGUGGAAUUCCCGGUGUAGCGGUGAAAUGCGCAGAUAUCAGGAGGAACACCGGUGGCGAAGGCGGUUCUCUGGGCCUGUACUGACGCUGAGGAGCGAAAGCCAGGGGAGCAAACGGG